GCAAACUUGGUCAUUUAGAGGAAGUAAAAGUCGUAACAAGGUUUCCGUAGGUGAACCUGCGGAAGGAUCAUUACCGAAUGACCCACACCUCCAUUGGCGCCUCUUGAUCUUGAUCUUGGUGCUCAUCCCUCCUGGGAAUUGGGUGCAUUUCAAGAUGUCCUACACUACACACAAAACCUGUCAUUGUAUGGUGUUUGAACAUUUAACAUGUAAUACAACUUUCAACAACGGAUCUCUUGGCUCUCGCAUCGAUGAAGAACGCAGC
rnacentral:misc_RNA from 1 species